rnacentral:lncRNA from 1 species
CAUGCUUAUUAGAUAAGAUUUAUCACCAGGAUAUAUAUAACAUACACCUGAUUGCUUAAUGAAAAUAAUAUAAUUUACGAUAUAUUUUCAGACAUUGGUUUUGUCUAAUUUCUAUAGGUUUCAUAGGAGGCUUAAGAUUCCUUUGUUGGGCUAUGUGUGGUCACACACCUGUAAUUCUAGUGACUUAGGAGGCUAAGGCAAAAAGAUCAAAAGUUUGAGGCCAGAGGCCAGCCUCAGUAACUUAGCAAGGCCCUAAGCAACUGAGUAAGACCCUAUCUUAAAUUAAAAAAUAAAAAGGGCUGGGGAUGUGUCUCAAUGGUUAAGCAUUUCAGGGUUCAAUCCCCAGUACCAAAACAACAACAACAACAACAAAAACUAUUGACUAAUAAAAACAUUAAAAAAAAAAAAAGGUUUCUAGGGGCUCAGUUGGUAGAAUGUUUGCCUUCACAUGCACAAGGCCCUGAGUUCAAUCCCCAGCACCAAAAAAAACAAAACAACAACAACAAAAAAAAAACGUUGCAUCCAUACAAAGCCUUUUUUCUUGUCAUUUCCUCCUAAACAAUAGUGUAACAACUAUUUACUUAGCAUUUAUAUUAUAUUAGAUAUUAGAAGUAAUCUGGAGAUGACUUGAGGUAUACAGGAGGAUGUGUGCAGGUCAUAUGCAAAUACCAUGCCAUGUUGUAUAAGGACUUGAGUAGAUUUUGGUGUUUCAGAUGGUGGGAAGCUGGAACCAAUCCCCCACAGAUAUGGUGGGAUGGCUGUACAUAGUUUCACUCACACAUUCAAAUGUACCUUGAAAAGGAAAAUAACUCGUCUAAAUUCUCUAUCAAUUAAAUCCUUGACUAAAGUAAAACCACAUUGUAAAAGGUUUUUAACACUAAUUUAGAGGACUUUAUACAUAAAUAAUAGUUAAUUUUUUUGUAAGAUUCUCUAAGAUUGUAAAAUGAAGUUCCUGUUCUUUCAAUAAAAUUAUUACUAAAAGCCAAUUGUGAAAUAGACUGUUUUGGGAUAGGAAGUGUUUCAUCAUUUCUUUUGUUUCUUUGGAUUUUGAAUUUUGACUUUCUUAAGGACAUAAAAUAUUGUACUAUGGAAGAUGAAACAUUAGGAAGAGCAUUUAUUUUCUUGGUGCCAGUGGUACCAGUGGGUUAGACCAGUCUUCUUUGCCUCUGUUUUAUGCAUAUUCUCAC